GUCACACUAUCAUUAACUGAAUCCAUAGGUUAAUGAGGCGAACCGGGGGAACUGAAACAUCUAAGUACCCCGAGGAAAAGAAAUCAACCGAGAUUCCCCCAGUAGCGGCGAGCGAACGGGGAGCAGCCCAGAGCCUGAAUCAGUGUGUGUGUUAGUGGAAGCGUCUGGAAAGGCGCGCGAUACAGGGUGACAGCCCCGUACACAAAAAUGCACAUACUGUGAGCUCGAUGAGUAGGGCGGGACACGUGGUAUCCUGUCUGAAUAUGGGGGGACCAUCCUCCAAGGCUAAAUACUCCUGACUGACCGAUAGUGAACCAGUACCGUGA
rnacentral:rRNA from 1 species